ensembl:lncRNA
CUGCUCAGGACGACCAAAUUGAUAUCUCAGCAUUUGAUUGGCCUGGUGCCCAGAAGCACCAUGGGAAAGAAUUUGAAGACUCUUGGCGGUUGAGAUUCAGACCUUGACGGUUGUAACUGAUGGAUUGGGCUGGGGCACUGCUGAUGAACAUCACAUUCCUGAGAGAAAAAUCACCCAGAUGUCUUCUCCAGCUUUCUAGAAGUCAUUAUGAGGGGCCUUGACUAACUAGAGAGACUCAUACAGAAACCUCUGCCUCCAUCACAGCUACUUCAUUGCCGUGUUCGUCCACGAUGGCUACCCUUGAGGAGGAUCGUCACUGGGCCUCAGAGAAGAGAGAAAACCAACAGGCCAUCAACCACAAAUUGAAAAUUGAAGUUGACAGGGGUCUCAGAGAAUAUCAGCUGCUGGCAGACGGGAAUGGAAUUUGACUCAACAGACAUUUAUUGCACUCCAGCUGUGUGCCAAGACAUGCCCUGAAAUCUGGGAGUGUGCAACACAGGGGAAGAAAAGACUCAUUGCCAAGGAGCUUUCGCCUAGGAGGUGAGAAUCAAUUUCAGCCUAAGGUGGUGAAAUACCGAAAUGCUACACGGGAGGUGAGUGCCAUGAAUCCAUGGAGGAAGAGGAGGAGACUCAAGCAUGGCUAGGUCAGGGAUGGCUUUCUGGAAUAAAGAGAUGCCCCAGCUGAACCAUACAAAAUGAAUUAUCUGUAUUUUCUACUUAGAAAAUGGAACAAGUGGCAACUGAUUAAUUCCGGAGGGGGAGAAUUAUAGAAAUGUGUGCAUGCAUGUCUGUGUAUGUGUGUGUUUGUCCUUACUCAGCGUUUUAAAAGAGAGAGUAAAGAGCUAAAGGUUAGUCCUUUACGCAUUCUCCAAGGAACAUUUGAGAUCCAGCUGACCCCAGAGAAAGGGAGACAGAGGCAAGGUGGUGGCCAUCUGGGGAAAUCAGUGGCUGCUGCAAUCAGACUGGCCCUCGAUUCCAGGAAUUUCCAUCCCUAUUACUCUGCUGUAACUUACCCUCCUGCCAUUCAGCGCUACCUGCAGGACAGGCUGGGCCUUUUAACUAAGGGACUUCUUCCUUGGCAUCCCUUACAAGUACACAAAGGUCACUGCUUUAUGCUCAAGGGACAACAAAAUAUUAAAUGAGGCUCAGUGCCUCUCUUAGGGCACUAACAGCCCAGUAAUGCAGACAGGCCCAUAAACAAAUAAUGGCAUCCUGACGAGAUUCCCUAGGGACAGGAAUUGGGCACUGCCGGGGCACAAAAGAAGAACGGAUGACCUGGCUCUGACUUUAAUGAUAAGGAGGGGCUCACCUGAUUUCCCUGUUUGUGCUAAUAGCCAGUGAUUACGCUGUGCUUUUCCCAUGUCAGGCCUGGCUCUAAGUACUCUAUGCAUAGCAACACAUGUCAUCUUCACACAACCCCACACGAAGACACGGAGGCAGAAAGAAGUGUCCGAAGGCACACAGUUGGGACCAGGACUUGAGCCUGGGCUGCCUGGCUGCUCAUCACCAUUCAUUACCAAUGGGGAGCAAGCUCCAUUCUGGCUUUUCCUUGCUGGAAGGUGACUGUCUGAGCCACAGUCUGAUCUGGCUUCUGGGGAGGAGAGGGCAGGGGAAACUUAUACAAAGCAUACUGGGAAAAAGGAAUCUUUUUUUUCAGCUACGGAAUCCUGUCCCCACCCCCCACUCCCACACACAAUCACGUGUGCACUUACACCUACACAACACAAUGCUGAGGCCCCUUCUUAGUUACAUUAAAUAAUCAUCUCUGGGAGCAGACCUUGAGCAUCUGAAUUUUUCCAUUUUUUAAAAAAGAUUAAAUGACAUGCAGACCCCAAGUAAAAUAUUCACAGUACGGAAAAGAAAGUCUGCGUACCCCUUCCACCUAACCCUCAAUCCUUCUUCCCGAAGGCAAACACUUCUGACAGUUCCUUGUGAUCUGUUUUCUUCCAGGAAAUUGCGUUUGCACAUACCCAUCUGUUAUUUUUAACCUCUGGGGAUGAUUGUGAUAAAUAGGUGGGUGAGACUCUCUGACCUGGGCCUGCCCUGGCCACCUCAGAGAUGCAUCUGUGGGGAGGGAGGGCGGGAAGAGGGAGAUGUGGGAAGUGGGGAGCUUUCUGAGUAGACAAGCAGACAGGAGAUCCAGAGGACAGAGCCCAGACAGAAGCUACUCAGUGCAGCAGACUGCUUCCGAGUGAAAAGAGGUGGUACUUCCUCUAAUCCACACUGAGUAUGUAAGAGCUAAGAAAGGCACAGUGGCCAGACAGUCAGAAUUGAGUGAGGAUGGGAUGUGAAGGUUUAUUCAUCCAUUUAUUCCAGGUAUUUUUAUUUCAGUCCUUUGGGAGGUAGUAGGUGUCAGGUCGCCCUGCACUUCAUGGGUCGAAUACAGAGUAGGUGUGGUGACUGUCAUACAAGAGGCACAGGGGAGAGAAAGGCAGGAGAAUGUCCUCAUGUUCAGUCUCUGGGAUAGACAGACAUGCAGAAACUCAUGUGUGAUGCAGUGUGUUCUCCUAAUGGCAGGUAAGUGGAAGGGAUGGUGGAAGGGUGGAAUAGAAACAGAAACUUCAGGGAUUUCUUUUAGGACCCAAUCAGGGCCUCAUUAGUCAGAGUCUUGAAACAGGUCAUGAACUUUUUGGUCACCAGGUUCUGGAAGGGGUACAGAUUGAUCUGUCACAGGCAAAGUAUGGGGACAUCUGCGGUUGGGUUGACUUGGGUAAACAUGUGGUUAUAGUUCUGCGAUUUCUUUGCUUUCCAGGGUCUCCAUGAGCCGCACGAGGAACAGGUGGUAAGCCUGCAUACCCAUUUGAUAACCCUUCCUUUUUGAAAUGCAGGCCAAGUCUGAGUUAGAAGUCAAAGCCUUCCUUGAGUUUUAUUGCUUUUAGGACUUUUACAAUGGCUUUUCUAUCUUUCCAAUAAUACAUUUACAUUUUCUGAAGACAAUGUGUAUCUGGAGAGGAUCAUUAUGUACUCAAAUCAACAUUUUUGAAAAAUGGAUCAGAAAGAAAUUUUCAUGUUGUAUCCCAGACGAGCCCAGACUGGGUUCCAGAAAUUUUUUGCUGAAUGGUUUUUGCAAUAGGAAGGACUGUGAAUCUUUUUUUUUUUUUCCAGCUGGAAGGACUUUCGAUGACCACCAUUUUGCUUUUUCUCUUCCUUUUAAAAUUCCUACUGUGUGCCAGGUGUGGUUGUCAGCACUGUGUCUUCACAGCAGCCCUGCAAAGGAAGUAUUUUGCUCUUGUUGUUAUUUUACAGAUGAGGAAAAUGAAGACGCCCCCAAAUUUAGUGUCUUACCUUAGGUCUUGUUGUUCUGAUAAGUGGUCCCACUGGUAUUUGAACUUGGGUGAGUCCACAUGAAAGUCAAGCCUCUCAUUUUGCAGAUGAGUGAGCUGAAGUCUCAAGGUCACUUGCCUCUUUGGUUGCAGAUCUUGGGGCGCAGGUCUUCUGAAUUUGUGAUGAGUAUGCUUUGUAUGACAAGAGGGUCACCCCUGAGGAGUGACUCCUGCCUCUAGUCUCUUCCCUUUUCAAUGCAUCCUGCAUACAGUCACCCUACAACCUACCCCCAGGUCCCCCAGCCCCCAAAUCUAUGCUUGUGGUUUCCCAAAAACUACAGAUGAUGGCCCAAGGCUGUGUCCAUCCUGAUCUCUAACAUCUGGCGUGGACCCCACAAUCCAGCCACAUGGAACCCCUACAGUCCCCUGCAUGAAUAAGAUAUAUGCUCUCCUGUCUCCAUCUUUAUUCACCUUUCCCACUUGUUGGCAUACCCUCUUCUUGCCAGAUCUAUAGGUCCAAAUACUACCUGUCUUUCAGGUCCAUCACAAAUGCCACUUCCUUCAUGAAGCUUAUUAUGUCCCAGAGUUGUAUAGGAUCUGUUGCUCUUCCUGAGGGAUAAGAGACAGGGUGGGGAAAAAAAGGGAAGAGAGGAUGGAUGGAAAUCAAGAGAGUAGAUAUGAAGCUGGAGAUGGGUGCAGAGAUGGAUGACCCCAAGGAUAAUCAAGAUAAACAAGAGUGGUGGCUUAUUGAGUGCUUACUGUGUCUUGGAAUAGUGCAAUGUCAUCAUCUCCUUAAAUCCUCACAGCAAGUCAUUGGAUUGCUACAGUGGGGAUUCAAGCCUACUUCUGCAUGAAGUCAAAGCCUAUGCUGUCCCUCAUCGUUGUGUUGUUUCCCAAGACAAUUGGGCGUGGUGCAGAAAAAGAAUGGAGCAAUCAUCAAAAUGGAAGAUUAAAGAGAUGAAACAAAAUUGGGGGCAUGGACUGAGACAAUGCAGCAAGGGACACUGGAAUUGGAAGACAUGAGUGAGGGACAUGGCCAGAGUGGAACUCUCUUAAGGCUUGUGGCGUUCAGUCCCUGGACACUUUGUCAUAACAAGGCAGCUCAGUUGGCAGUGAUCAUCUGGGCACGGGGACCACAUUCAUGGCUUGCAUAUCUUGCUUUGUGUUUUGGGGUUCGGGCUCCCAAGCUCCCUGAAGUCAGGGAUCGUGUCUAUGCCUUUUUGAAGUAGAGACACAGUCCAUCCUACCAAGUGGCCACAUGGGAGGCACAGAGAAGCAAGCAUCUCUGUGCCCAGGCAUGCAGGGAGGUUUCCCAGGGAGAUGACGGGUCCAGGUAGAGAAGGGAGACAGGGUGUGGGAAACUCAAGGUAGAGGCCAGAGUACAUGUUUAGGGAAGGAAGCCGGGAAAGUCAGGGGAGCCGUGUUUAGGGGUUUGCCCAAAGUAUAAGUCAAGAGCAAACAGUAGGAGGAAGUAAGGCUGGGGAGGCAGCUCCUGGAGGGGCACAGAUGUAAAAGCCAAUCCCCCACCCCAUAUGCUUUCAACCCACCCACCCCAGACUACUCCCAUCUCCCUGCUGUUUAACAUGUUGUCUUGUUUCUGAGCCUUCUGUAGGAACAGGAUACCCUUCCUUAUACGUUUAGGUAUUCUGCUGAACUUUGAAGGCAUUUUAGACAUGUGUGCUGUGCAUUGGCCCUCUCAGAAUUCAGUGUCUCCUUGGAAGUGUCUUUUCUGCCUCUCCAUUCUAGCACUGGUCACACCAUUUUGUCUGUCCUCCUUACUAUUGUGAGAGUUUCUUUGGGGGGAAAAUUUUUGUCUUCUCUGCAUCCCCAAUGCCAGCACAUGGUAGGUACUCCUCACAUUUUGUUGAUGGAAUAACUCCAGUCUAGCAUUCAUGUGUUUUUCAGGCAGACAGAGUGAACGGUCAGUGGGGACCCAUGACUCUGGGAACAGAGGGGCAUUUCCCUAUUUGCUCUGUGGAGGCCUAUGAGGGCUGCUCAUUGUUACGGCAGUCCGGCCUCCCGCUCACCCGGACUCCUUUCCUCCUCUGGUACCUGCCUACCAGGCCAUGUAAUUUCUCCACAUUUUUCCCCUUUGUCACCUUUUUUUUUUCUUUCCUGCAAGGAGUGUAGCAAGCCCUCAGGAGUUUGAUUAUGUUGCAAGAUGAAUAAGAUAUUUGAAUUAUGCUAUUUAAAUGAGUCAUCUCAACCCUAGUGUAAUUGUUCAGCCCCUGUCACGCUAAACGUGAUCUACAUUUCCAAAAGAGUGCUUUUGGCCUGAAUAGGGAAUUGCUGAAAUUGUUGGGUUCCAGUUCUCAGUGGCUUACGAUUUGCAUCACAGGGUAUGUCUUCUGUUCCACAUCUUGGCAGAUGUGGACUUUUAAAUGGUCACUCCCCAGAGCUACCAGAACAAGCUGCAUAUAUUUACACAAAAGAAGUUGAACUGAUUUUCUGGAUGUUUGUGUGUGUGUGGUGUGUGUAAAGGGGGCAGAGAGGAGCAGGAGAGUGCAGAGUGGUGAAGAAGAUAGUGCCUGAUCUUGGCUAAGCAGUGUCGCAACACAUAGGUGAGCUGAAGCUCAACAGAUUUAGAUUUUGCACUUGUGGCCUGAAAUCUCCUUGUUUUGCAUAUCCUUUUUGAGGGUUCUGGUCACUCUGAAAACUCAGCCUGCAUUGAUGGCCUCAAUUUGGAUCACCCGGGUGGCCCCGAUAUGCCUUAGCAUUUCUUCAUCUUGGAGCUGAGCUGCGGGGCAGGAUUCUUACACUGCCCGAAUGGAGUGGGGCACAUUUCCCUUCAUUGUGCAUUUCUUUUAGUGAAGAGAGCAUGAUUGAUGGUCAGACUGUGAAACAUAACUCCAAAGCCACUUCUCAAAGUUUGUGAAGAUCUUAGAAACUGGUGGUUAUGCUGUCUCAGACUCUUCAAUUACUCAGACUCCAUGAAUUUGAGUCAUAGCCCACUGGACGAGGACCACACUGAGAUGAAAAAAGAGUUAAACUUUUUUAAGGGGUGAGCAGUAUUCCUAAAGUGAUAGAUAAAGUCAGGUGUUACAGUCACUCAGCGGAUAUUGAUUGCGUGCCCAUGAAUCAGGCAUAUGCUCAGGGGCUGGUAAUACAAGAGAAACAGGCCCUUGAGGUCCCUGCCCUCAAUAAGUUCACAGUCUAGUGAGGUUGAUGGGCAUGCAAAUGGUUACAACAUAAUGCAGGCAUGUAAGAAAUGCUGUGGGAAAUUAAGACAGCAGAGUCUGCUUGAGAAGACUGGGCAAAGUUUUAAAAAGGAGGAGCUACUUUUGUUGGAACUUGAAGGAUGAGUGGUGGUGUUUACCAGGGUGAAUAAUUUGGUGCGGGUAUUCUAGGCAAAGGCUAGGGUGGCUAGAGCCUUGUGUGUGGUGGUGGAGCUAAGGCAGUUGGAACAUGAAGGACCUUGUGUGCCAAAAGAUGCAUGUUAGUUUUACACUGUAGAUGUGUUAGGAUGUGUUCAGCUGCAAGGAACAGAAAUCCCCAAUAUUACUGGCUUAAACAUGAAGAAAAUUUAUUAACAUGUAUAAUGUGUUCAAAGGCAGGGAAAUUCCAAGAUGGCUGAAUUCAGUGGCUCAACUCUGUCAUUAAGGACCUGGGCUCUUUCCACUUUUCUGCUCUGUCAUCCUUGGUAUGACGGUUUAUCCUCAGACUUGAUGAUUGAAGAGGAAGAGAGGUUUGUUUCUUUGUUUUCUGUCCUGAUGUGUGUCUUUUUAAUCAGUGAGAAAAAAUUUUCUUAAGAAGCCCCCCAUUAGACUGAUCCUCAUGCCUCAGUGACCAAAACUGCAUCAUAUGCCCAAUCCUAAACCUUUCUCUGGCCAAGGGAAUGCAACCACCAUGACUGGCUCAGCCCAAUCUUGACCCCCCUGGAGGGGACAGCCCCACUUCUUCUGAAGUACAUGGCCAGGUAGAGGAUACUGGAACAAAAUUAGGCUUCUGAUAGAAGUGGGAGAAAGGGGACAAAUGGUUGCUGAGUUGGUAACCAACAGCAUUUUCUACAGUAGCAAUGAGAAACUGUUGUAGACAAUUGAGCAGGAGCUGGCAUAAUUGGGUUUUUCAUUCUCCCCAAAGCCAGAGCACAUAGAUGUAUAUCCUAGUAGUAAGUCAUUCUAGUUCUUCUAUCUGGGAUGCUGCCACAGCAUGGCUUGAUGAGUGGUGUAUAGGUCCAUGCCCAGGAUCUGAACCUGCGAACCUCGGCCACAGAAGCAGGGCAUGUGAACUCAACAACUACACCACUGGGUCAGCCCCUAAUGAGCUUUACAUCUCAAAAAAAAUCACCCUGUCAUUAGUGUAGAGUUUAAUUUUGUAGAUAGAAAAACUGCAAACAAAUGGAAUAAUUUUAUCAGAAGUCAAGGAACGGCUCAACAUCUCUUUGGAACUGGAGGUAAAGUUUUCCUUGAGCCAUGCCCUCUACCUUAAGGAUGGGAGGGGUGCAGGGUGGGAUGUGAUUAGUGCAGAGGAGAGGCUUUCCAUCCUGGACUUGCCAAGGAAUUCUUUAUGGUACUGUGGCGAGUGUGCAACCUCUUUGCAGUCCAGAUGACAAUGCCAUCCACUCAGAAGGGCAGCUGUAAUCCUAGGAUCCCAGCAAGCUGGAGCUGGAGGCAAUCUUAAAGUCCUUUAGUUCAAGACCUUUAUUUUACAAAUGAGGAAACUGGUACCCAGACAAGCGGAGUGACUUGUUGAGUUCCUAUGUCUGGUACGUGGCUGAGCUGGAACCACACCCACAGAUUCUCCUCACUCCCAGCCCUGUGCUCUUUGUCCUGGGUUCUCAGGGCCAUUUUGAUGGAGGCUUAUGAGUGCAUUCAGGAGUUCUGAAAAGGCUCUGAAGACUCUCUUCCUAUGUUUCUAUUAUCCUUGACAGCAAUCCUAUUGUUGGAAUUAAAAAAAAAAUAAUGUUUUGGUUUCUAUAAAAAUGCAAACAAUACUGGUAGGUACAAUGUUUAAGCUCUCUUAUUAUUCAUUUAUAAUAUGAUCUUAGCAUGAAUGUGUUCCUCUGGUUCUUUCUUUGAAGCUGUUUUAAUGGGGAAUGAGGAUGUAGCCUUUGGGGCCCUGGGAACCCGAGAGAGGAAAGGAGGCCCUAAGAAGAAGCCCUAAGAGGUGGGGUGGGAGACUUGAGGGCUCAUUACUUUGAUGAGGGCGUUCCCAGUGACAAAAAGCCAAAGAAGACACUAAAUAAGAAGCUUGGUGGCUGAGACAUUCAUGAGUGGUAAUCAGUGUGCUGGUGUGCGGUGGAACCUCUGGGACAUUUUUCUUGGUGACUCAAGCAUCUAUUUGCAGUGACCCAUCACACUCUGUCUCUACUCUCUCCUUCGGCCUUCAGCGUCUGCGUGCCUUUACUCCCCAGAGCACCCUCAGUCCUGGCCAGAACUUUUGCCUGGAAUCCUCUGAAAACUCACCCUUGUGGACAGGCACAAAGAAGAAAAAAAAAGCUGAGUAAAAACUAGAGAUGCUUUCAACAGCAAGAUUUUACUGACCAAGUGCUAUGUGCAAAUCACUAAGCUGAAUGAAAGACGUGUAAAAUCCACUUAUUUUGACUUUGCUCUUGAAAAUAUUUCUAAAGUGAUUUGGUUUACUUUUCUGGUAGUAUGCCAAACAUUGUAAAACUGUUAGUUUUAGAUGUGGAUGGUGAAUAAAGAUUGGGCUGAAUCUGUAUAGACCUGGGCAUCCUUGGAUAUGGUGUAAAAGAUGAUCCUGUUUCUGUAAAACAAAUAAUGAAAAGAGAAAAAAGCCCUGUAUAUCUAUGUGUGUCUGUAUAGGACUGUUUAAGCCUAGAGAAACAUGUAAAAGGAUGUCUGUGAAGUUGCUCACAUGGGUGACUCGGCUGGGCAGUGCUGAGGUGCCAGAAGAGGAGGGCUGGGCCAGGCCAGACAAAAUGUAGGAGAAAAGGGGAACUGAAAAGCCGUGUACAAAAUGCUAUUUAUGUAAAUAUAUGUGUGGAAAUAUGCUCAAAAAAUUGAAUAAAAUACUUUUAAAAAGUGAUCUGAGGAAUGAGAACACAGAAGCGACUCUAACUCUCACAUGUAUCUACAAUUAUAACAUGCUUCAGAUGUUUGGCUGGAUUGCGUGAUCGUUAAUGGGCCUUCAGACUUGAAAUUUCAUAGUUCUCUAAAUUAAAGGUGCUGAAAUGUGGCUAGGAAUGCUGUUCUACCUCAAUUUAUAUUUUGUUCUACUUUCAUCUAUUUGUUAUGUAGUUUUUCAUCUCAUUGUCUCCAUCUUUGUAUCAGUAAAGGCUGACAUAAUUAAAAAGUAUGUAUUAUAUAUAUAUGUAACAAGUAUAUCUAAGUUUAUUUCAAAAUUGUAUACAGUUUGUUCCACAGUGUGAAUUUGGUCUAUCUUUAAAAAAUCCUCUAGUAUUUCUAUGAUGUCUGAUUUAAAGGAACCCCUCAGACAAGCUGGUGUCACCUGACGUUUUUAAUGGAGAUCUUGUAAUCCCCUUUCAAAAAGUGUGCCUAAUUGACCAUGCCUGCUUUUGGGGUCCCCCAGUAUGCUCAUUUGGCACUCUACUGGUGGAGAGGCUAGAGGCAUUCAUCUCUCCCUCCCCCACCCUCUACCUCCCAGCGCACACAGGAAGGCCAACAGCAUUUAUUAAGCACUUAUCAUUGGGUCAGAUAUUUCCUCACAGUAAACCAGCAAGGGUAAAUAUUUUAUGCCGAUUUAAUAGAGCAGGAACCUGAGGCCCAGAGGGGUUAAGUAAUUUAUUCAGGGGUGAAUGAAUUGAACCAGUUUUAAAAUCCCGGGCUCCUUGAUUCCAUAGAACAGUUUUUUUGUUUUGUUUUGUUUUGUUUCUCUUUCUCUUCCACUACAUAAACUCAGACACAUCAGAAGGAAAACUGGAAGGGUUUUCUUAGUCUGAAGACUUUCCCUUCCUCUGAUUCUUUCAUCAGCUGCUUCUUUUGAGCUGUGGAAGAGGAGAUGGAAGAGCGAGAACGGGAGGGGAAAGACAGGGACAGUCUCUAUCCAUUGGAGAGCCAGAGUUUCCCAGGAGAAGUGACUGUUCUGGGAUAGCUCAGACUUGGGGUAACCUCCCUCUAAGAACCUCAUUGGUUCAUUCCUGAAACCGAUGCCUUACAUCCUCACCUGGCUUCCAGAGUAUUCUGAUCUUCCUAAGCCCAUUUCAUUCUUCCCAUAUUUGGGCAAUGAGGAGCAGAGCUUGGAAGUGUACAAAGAUGCAAAAAUGAGAAUAAAAUAGGGAGGGGGAGGUUGAUGCAAGCA